UCAGCAGAGAUGUAGCUGCCAAGCGGGCUGUCCCGCAUCUCUUCAGUAUGGGCACACUCUGCUGGUCAGAGGGGAAACCAGGGGAGUAGCUCCGGUGGAGAUGUCAGGGUGCGAUCAGGUGAAAUUCUUGUGCCCCCAUCUCGUGUCUGCUAAAUAAGAAAUCAGCUGGGGCAGGGAUCUUCCCCCCGCCCCGGCUUCUGUGUUUAGGUACCGCUUAGCACAGAGCUGUUUCUAUUUUGCAUAGUAUCAAAUGAGAAAAACUAAGCCAGUUGCAAUGGCAAUUAUUUGAUUAUGAAAAACUGCAGGCACAAGUGAGACCUCCAGGAAAAGCUCUCAUUUAAAGUCAACACUUGUAUAAAUAAUUUAGAUCAGUAUAUGUAAGUUUUACCCUGAUGACCUACUCCAGAACUGGGAGGAGUAGGUGUUAAUCAGAUUAAUUAAGGAAUCUCUUUGAUUUUUAGUAUACUCUGGUUUGGCAAUUUGUCCUCCGGAUGAUAUUUUGCAAUAGACUUGUUGUUAGACUGAGAACCGAAGUCAAAUCAGUGAAACACUAGCAUUAAUGACAUGGUUUGUUAGUAAUUUCUGUAGUAGUACCACAGUUAUGGUAUGAGUAAGGAAGAAGAAAACCCUCAGACAAGCAGUUAGUUCUGCAGAGCAUCAUGUAAAAGAUGUCAGGAGACCAGACAGGAGGUUGGUUAGAUGGUAGAAGGUAAUUUCUUUUUUUCCCCAAACCUACCAAUAAGUUUCAUUUUACUUGUAGCUAAGGUUGCAGGGCUCUGCUGGUGAACUCCUGCCUAAGGUGCUUGUGACUGAGUUUUAUCUUUAUAUACUAAGACCAGCCUAGAUCUGCAUUUAAUCAGUGUCAAAUAAUUAAGCAGGAGACAGGUGCAAGGAGAGAAGAGACAAAAUCAUCAUGCAGGGAAGAGACAAAGAAGGGUCUACCUGUUUUGGCUGGGGCUUGGCAGGACGUCAUGCUGUACCGUGCAAGAGCAGCGCGCACCCUGCUCCCCCAAGGAUGCCCUGCCUGUCCCCGGAGGCAGCUGCCCAACAUGGAGGUUUUGUGCUGCAUUUCAUGCUGCCUGCGCAGCCUGCAGCCCCAGCCACCUGCGCUGGGAGUGACAGGAUACAUGGUGGGUAUGGAUGCUCCUUGCUGCGGGGAGGAAGCUGACAUGGCAGCUGGGAGAAGGCUGGUCCAUCCUCAGAAGGAAAUGAGGAAUAAAUUAGGGACUCAUUUGCCAGGACACUGUGGCUGGGGUGACACUGUGACAUGCACUGGUGUUGCCCGUAUCUCUCCCUCUGUGGAUGCAGGCACCAUGCCAUUAGCAGAGAUGCACAGAAAUAUUUUCCCAUUAGUUUUCAUGAUGGAAGCAUCCCUUCUGUCCUACAUGCCAAAACACUAUGUCACUGAGCCUUGGCUGGUAUCAUCAUUGUGCUUCAGCACAGUGAUGAGGUAGGGAAGAAAACCAAAGAAGUUGCAGUAUCAGGGGAUGGGCUAAUUUUCUCAGACAUAAAAGCAUUUUUUUUAUUAGUGUUUCUAUUUCUGUUUAUAUAUGCUCUGGGAAAAAAAAAUAAAUCCAUGAAAUGGA